AGGACGAACGCUGGCGGCGUGCCUAACACAUGCAAGUCGAACGAGGUCCAACCGGUGGCAACACUGGUGAAGACCUAGUGGCGAACGGGUGAGUAUCACGUGAGCAACCUGCCCCGAAGACUGGGAUAACACCGGGAAACCGGUGCUAAUACCGGAUACCCCCACCGGAUCGCAUGGUCUGGUGAGGAAAUGAAUUUUGCUUUGGGAGGGACUCGCGGCCUAUCAGCUUGUUGGUGGUGUAACGGACCACCAAGGCUUCGACGGGUAGCUGGUCUGAGAGGACGAUCAGCCACACUGGGACUGAGACACGGCCCAGACUCCUACGGGAGGCAGCAGUGGGGAAUCUUGCGCAAUGGGCGAAAGCCUGACGCAGCAACGCCGCGUGAGGGACGAAGGCCUUCUGGGUUGUAAACCUCUUUCAGCAGGGACGAUGAUGACGGUACCUGCAGAAGAAGCCCCGGCAACUACGUGCCAGCAGCCGCGGU
rnacentral:rRNA from 1 species